rnacentral:lncRNA from 1 species
AUCAAGUACAAAAGUCUAACUAGAAUCUUUACUCUCUACAGAUACAAUGUCAGCUUCAAACCCUUUGACCCGUAUUCUUGAGACCAACCGAUUGACCGAAACCAAUUACAAGGACUGGCUUAGAAACCUCAAAAUUGUUUUGGACUGUGAGAAAAUAGGCUACAUACUCGAUUCAGAUAGCCCCACACUACCAACACGUCCUACUGAUGUUCAGCGUCAGAUGCAUCAAAAAUGGAUGG